rnacentral:rRNA from 1 species
GGUCUAAUACCGGAUAUGACCCGUCACCGCAUGGUGGUGGGUGGAAAGAUUUUUUGGUUUUGGAUGGACUCGCGGCCUAUCAGCUUGUUGGUGAGGUAAUGGCUCACCAAGGCGACGACGGGUAGCCGGCCUGAGAGGGUGACCGGCCACACUGGGACUGANACACGGCCCANACUCCUACGGGAGGCANCAGUGGGGAAUAUUGCACAAUGGGCGCAAGCCUGAUGCAGCGACGCCGCGUGAGGGAUGAAGGCCUUCGGGUUGUAAACCUCUUUCAGUAGGGAAGAAGCGAAAGUGACGGUACCUGCAGAAGAAGCGCCGGCUAACUACGUGCCAGCAGCCGCGGUAAUACGUAGGGCGCAAGCGUUAUCCGGAAUUAUUGGGCGUAAAGAGCUCGUAGGCGGUUUGUCGCGUCUGCCGUGAAAGUCCGGGGCUCAACUCCGGAUCUGCGGUGGGUACGG